rnacentral:rRNA from 1 species
GAUGAACGCUGGCGGCGUGCUUAACACAUGCAAGUCGAACGAGAAGUGAAGACGGAAACCUUCGGGCGGAAGGCUUUAUUUCGAGUGGCGAACGGGGGAGUAACUCGUUGGUAACCUGCCUCAUACAGGGGGAUAACAGGUUGAAACGACUGUUAAUACCGCAUAAGACCACAGCACCGCAUGAUGCGGGGGUAAAAACUCCGGUGGUAUGAGAUGGACCCGCUUUCGAUUAGCCAGUUGUCGGGGUAACGGCACACCAAAGCGACGAUCGAUAGCCGAUCUGAGAGGCUGACCGGCCACAUUGGGACUGAGACACGGCACAAACUCCUACGGGAGGCAGCAGUGGGGAAUAUUGCACCAUGGGGGAAACCCUGAUGCAGCGACGCCGGGUGAGUGAAGAAGUAAUUCGGUAUGUAAAGCUCUAUUAGCUGGGAACAAAAUGACGGUACCUGAGUAAGAAGCCACGGCUAACUACGUG